rnacentral:rRNA from 1 species
CCUACGGGUGGCAGCAGUGAGGAAUAUUGGUCAAUGGACGCAAGUCUGAACCAGCCAUGCCGCGUGCAGGAAGACGGCUCUAUGAGUUGUAAACUGCUUUUGUACGAGGGUAAACGCAGAUACGCGUAUCUGUCUGAAAGUAUCGUACGAAUAAGGAUCGGCUAACUCCGUGCCAGCAGCCGCGGUAAUACGGAGGAUUCAAGCGUUAUCCGGAUUUAUUGGGUUUAAAGGGUUCGUAGGCGGUCGGAUUAGUUAGAGGUGAAAUACCGAGGCUCAACUUCGGAAUUGCCUCUGAUACUGUUCGGCUAGAGAGUAGGUGAGGUAGGCGGAAUGUAUGGUGUAGCGGUGAAAUGCUUAGAGAUCAUACAGAACACCGAUUGCGAAGGCAGCUUACCAGGCUACUUCUGACGUUGAGGCACGAAAGCGUGGGGAGCGAACAGGAUUAGAUACCCGUGUAGUC